AGAAAAUUUAUAGUCAUUCCCUGGGUGAUCUCAGCAAAUUCCAUGGCUUUGAAUACCAUCCAUAUGCUGAUGAAUCCCAAAUUAGAUCUUAUGCCCAAUCUAUUCCAUUUGCACAUAUUCUUAUCCAACUGUCAACUUGACAUCUUCAUUUGAAUGUCUAACAGGCAUGUGAAAUUUAACAGGAGCAAAACAGAUCUCUUAAUUUCAUCCUUCCUUGCCUUUAAGUCUUCACCAUAUCUCAGUAAAUGGCAAUAUCAUUCACCCAUCAUUCAAUUCUAAACCCUCAGAAUUACCUUUGACUCUUGUCUUUCUCUCAUACUCCAUGCCCCACUCAUUAGCAGGUUUUAUUAGCUGUGCCUUUAAAAUUUGUCUCAACUCACACUGAUGCUCAACCACCACCUCCAAUCUCUGCCACGUAAUCUAAGCACAAUUUCUCUCCUGUGAUUGCAUCCCUGCCUCCAUUCUGUUCCUCUAUAGUCAAUUAUUUAAAGCAGCCUCAGUGAGCCUUUAAAAUGUAAAUCAUAUCCCAUCCCUCCCUUGCUUAAUACCCCCCAAUUAGCUUUUGAUCAUAUUCAGAAUAAAGUUCAAACCCUGCCACCUUCCCUAAGCCUUUACUAGUUCAUUGGUUUUGCUAGCUCUCCAGUGUCAGCUCUUUCCACUCUGCCUUUUGCUUACCCUGCUUUAGCAGCACUGAUCUGCUUACCAUUAUCAACACACCAAGUUUGUUCUGGGCUCCAGAUAUUUGCAUUUCUUUACCCUCUGACUGGAAAUAUUUCCCCAAAGCCUCUGCUGUGGUUUGAAUGUCCUUGCCAAAACUCAUGUUGAAAUUUAACGGCCAUUGUAAUGAAAUUGAGAGGUGGGGACCCUAAGAGGUGAUUAGGUCAGGAGGGCUCAGGAUUCACAUUGUUAUCAUGGGAGAGGGUGUCUGAUACAAAAACUGAGUUCAGACCACUUCCCUCUCUUGUCUAAUGCACUUGUUUCUGCCUUUUGCCCUACCAUCAUGAAAUGACCCUCACCAGGUAGCCUGGCAGAUGCUGGGGCCAUGCCCUUGGACUUCCCAGCACCAAGAACCACAAACCAAACAAACUUAAGAACCAUAAGCCAAACAAACUUAUCUUAUUUAUAAAUUACCCAGUCUGUGAUAUUCUGUUAUAGUGCAAAAAAUAGACUGAGACAUUCUCUAUCUCAUAUCUUCACAUCAUUCACCCCAUUGAGGUUUUUUACUCAAAUAUUACCUCGUAAGAGAGGCUUUCCUUGACUGCCACAUCCCAAAGGGUCCCUGUUGCCCCCCUCUACCAUCCCAAUACCUCUGUAUCUUCUUUCCAUGCUUAAUUUUCCUUCAUAGCACUUAUUUCUAUGUGGUUUAUAUCAUUUGUUGAUUUUUUUCCAUGGGGGCUGGUAUUCAUCAUGUUGAGUGCUAGAUUCCUGACACCUAUAAAGGUACCUUGCACACAAUAGGUGCUUAAUACAUAAUUUGAUGAAUAAAUAAAUAAAAUGAGAAGUGAAACCAUCUACUCCCACACAGCUUACCAUCCAUAUCAGGGGUUGGCAAACUUUUCCUGUAAAGGGCCUGAUAGUAACUAUUUUAGGCUCUGUGGCCAUAUGGUCUCUUUCAUAACCAUUUAACUCUGUGUUUGUAGCAUGGAAGCAGUCACAGACAACAUUUGAAGGAAUGAACAUAGGACUGCUCCAAUAAAACUAUAAAAACUGGGCAUGGACCAGAUUGGGCCUUUGGGCUAUGGUUUGCAAACCCUGGUGUUGGUGAAACUGAUUGUACUAUUUGGCUUCAUGAAUAUGACCUUAUUCCUCCUCUGUCUUCAUCACCAUGAUUUUUCCACUCCAGGAACCUCUUGCUCAGAAUAAUAAAAGUUGCAAAUAUCUUUGGAAAAAUUUAUUUGAAUGAACAUCAUACUGUGGAACCCUUCACUGAAUUGUAACAAAUGGAUUUUCUCUCCAAGACUCUUCAAAAUUCUGUCUCAAAAUUCUUGCCUUGCUGUGUCUACCAGUCCUAAACUACUAUAUCUCAAGCUCCUGCAAUGAAAAGCUUGCUUUCAUCCACACCCUCAAAUAUCAUCAAUAUUCCAACUUAUUUUUCCCUACUCAAUGGCGAAGAUGGUCAAGGUAGUGAUCUCCCUGAGUGCAGUAAGCAAUUAACUUCAGUGCUGUGUGCUAGAAUUUUCAGAGUCCACCAUAGUGAAGGGCUAUCCCAGAGGAAGUUAUCAUGUUGUUUCUGUUGCUUUUGCUAUCAUGAUUGCUUGGCCUCCAAAUUAAAGGAUAUACUAAUUCACUCAUUCAUUAACAAAUAUAUAUGUUGAGAGCUUAUUACACACAUGUCCUCAUGCCAGUUAGUCUUGAUAGACAUGUAUAAGUAAAAACCAGGCAACUUUGCUCUGUGGAAAUAUGAUAGAAAAAGAUAACCUUUCCUCCAGUGAUUAAUGACAUUUAUGUUUACUUUCUGGAACUUUAAAAAAUUGUGUCACCAGGGAUUUUGACAUGGAAAGAAACAUUUACUCAUUAAAAUCGAGAGCUUCUUGGUUUCUUCAGUCUCCUAGGUUCAAUAAUCCACAAGUCUGCAACUCAUAGUGCAUAUAUCCAGGAGUUUUCUGGAGGAAUGCCAGGCAUGGCUGAAACAGCAAUCUUUUGACCAUAACUACUGGGGGGGGAAAGCAGCCCUUGCUGUAAUCAUCGUUCAUAAAAACUCUGGAAUUUACUUGCACAAAGAGCUCAUUGAGAGCUGACAGUUCUGCUACAGCCAUUCCUUUCUUUCCAAGGAGGAAGCAUCAGAAAAAUGAGUGGCCCAGCUUGUGCCAUUUCUGCAAAGGGAGUGUUCAAAAGUCGGUGCCUUGGGUAUCAGCAGGCUUGGCUUCCCAAAUGGGUGGAGGUAGCAGUGUGGUCCUGGGGAGAGUGCCCGAGACUCGAGUCAGGGCCUAACUCUGCCAACUGAGGGACAAGGGGAGUCAGAGGCAGAAGAGAAGGUGUUGUGAUGACAGAAGCAGAGAUCUGAGUGACUCACUUUGAAGAUGGAGGAAGAGGUCACAGGCCAAGUGAUACAGAUGCCAGGAGAAGCUGAAAACAGGAGGAAAUGGAUUCUUCCCUCAGAGCUUCUGGAAAAGAUCAGUCUUGCUGAUAACUUGACUUUAGCCCACUGAAACUGAUUUUGAACUUUUGACUUCCAGAACUACAGGGUCUCAUUAUUGUUGCCCAGACUCAUCUCAAACUC